CCCUGCCACCGGGGAUGGGGAGAGGGGUGGGAGGGCGCCUUUGAGACCCCCAACAAUGAUGCACGACUAGACGCGCACGGGGGACCAUCUCAGUGUCCAGAAGCCGGGGAGCACAAUGGAGAGGAACUCUGAGCUUGGUUAGUGAUCUGGAGUGUUCAGUUGGAAGACUGGAGGUUGGAGGAAGCGAGCGAGCGAGCAAGCAAGCGUAGAAGGCGACUCUCGCAGACCGCCUGCCCCAGCCUUCACUCUGGAGCGUUUGCCUCUGCAAAUUCAGCCUCUGGGGCUUGAAACUCAGCAGCUGUUUUAACAAUUGAAAAAAAAAUGACCCUACAGGACCAGUGAGGCCCAGCAAAACUUGGAAAUCCAUUAAGGCUGACUAGGUAAUUAUGGCUUAAAAGGAAAAGACUUUACCACAGAAUACGUUAGAGAGUCCCAUUGGCAUCUGAGAAGAGUGAAUCCACUUCAGGGGCUGCUUCUGCCAGUUGUGUGCUAUGGAUCAUGCUGGCUACAACCUUUCAGACCACAAGUGGAGAAGAUUAAGUCAGUUAAAAUAUCCCAUACUGAGUUAUUUAUCUAUGUGCUCUACCCUCUUAUUUGAAAUCACUGAAAUUCUGUCAUUGCCCCAGUGUGAAUCCUGGACAUCUCUCUGUUCCCAGUUUUGUUCUCAUGCACUGCUUUGCGCUUAUGAAGCCAUGAAUUUCCAGUAAUGUGACAAUUUUGAUGUUCUAGCACUUCUCGCCUCCAAGCUCAAACAGGGGAUUCUAGUUCAAAGAGGCUAAUAAAGGUAGGAUGUUGUUCAGGAACUGAGAAAAGAAAAUAGCAAAAUGAGAAUUCAAAGAGGUAUGAGACUCAGAUGACUGGAAACUUAAAUUUACUUGUGCAUCUGAGGAGGAGGAGGAAGAGGAAGAGGAAGAGGAGGAGGAAGAGGAGGAGGAGGAAGAGGAGGAGGAGGAGAGGAAGAGGAAGUUGAAAGAAGAAAAACUUUAAACACCUCACCUCUGUGAGGAAGUGGAAAUCACCUAAUGAGCAAUGAGCAAGGUGUGCCACUCACAAACUGGAGACAAACUUAAAAGCCAAUCAACUUUGGGUCAGUGCUUUUGAUACUGGGUGUGAUGUUCUCAAAGGUGGAGGCCACAUAGUCCAGCCAUGCCUCACAUACAGACAGAACUUCAGAGCCACAGCAGGAUGACUCUCUUUCUCUUUUCACCAAAAGACACACUUGUGAAUCUAUUUCCUCCUCAUCUUAACUUCAAGACAAGGCAUUAUAUAGUGAAAACACACACACACACACACACACACACACACACACACACACACACACACAACCAAGUGAAUGACAAUAACAUCAGUGGGCCAUAGCAGAUUACAAAGGGGAGAGGGAGUGGGAAGAAUGAAAAGGGAGUAAUAAUUAAGAACUUAUAAUAGUUGUGAGAGAGUAGGUGAAAUCAUUAGCAACAUUAAAGAUGACCAACUGACAUUCUAGAGUAUGUGUAAAAGUGAAGCAAAGAUGGCCUCCUUAAUAAUGAGAUAUUAAGAAGCUUAAGAAAAAGGCUAAAGUCUCACCCGCCCCCACCUCUUCUUACCAUGUAUAAAGGUCAAAGAACUUGCUCAAAUCACUCAGGGAAACACUUUAAGACAUUGGCAUAGAUAAAACCGUUCUUAAUAGAAGGCUAAAGUAUUAAGAAUUGACAAAUGGGAUUUCAUGAAAUUAAAAAGCUUCUACACAGCAAUGAAAACAAUUAAUUGAAGAAGGAAACAGUCUUCAGAAUGAAAGAAAGUAUUUGACAGCUAUUCAUUUGACAUGGAUUCCUAUUUAGAAUAUGUAAAGAAAUGAAAAUGAAAUGACAAAAUAACGUGCAAUGAAAUCAGUGAAUGAGCAAAUUAACAUUUCUUCAAAGAAGUAAAAACAGCUAAUAUAUAAAAAGAUGUUCUGUAUCCUCGGCCAUCAGGGAAAUGCAAAUUGAAACUGCUUUGAGCUUUCAGCUCACCCUAGUCAGAAUACAUCGUCAUCAUCAUCAUCAUCAUCGUCAUCAUCAUCAUCAUCAUCAUCAUCAGCAGCAGCAGCAGCAGCAGCAGCAACAACAACAACAGCAGCAGCAGCAGCAGCAGCAGCAGCAGCAGCAGCAGCAGCAGCACAUACCAACUCUCAAGUUCAAGAGAAAACAAUGCUAUAUAGCUUGUCAGCACCACAGGAAGUGCUGUCAAAAGGGGCACAUAGAUCGGAAAGUGUGGGUGUGGUGGGAAACACAGACAUGGCAGUGAGGGUGCAUAUAAUAGGAAAUGUGGGGUGAGAAGGGGAAGGCAGACAUGGCAGAAAGUGUACAUAGGGCUGGGAAAGCAGACGUGGCAGAGAGGGGCACACAGAAUAGGAAAUGUGGGGUAGGGAGGGAAAGACAGACAUGGCAGAGAGGCACAGCAUAGCAAAGUGAAAA